GACGAACGCUGGCGGCAGGCUUAACACAUGCAAGUCGAACGGAAAGGCCCUGCUUUUGGGGGGUGCUCGAGGGGCGAACGGGUGAGUAACCCGUGAGUAACCUGCCCUUGACUUUGGGAUAACUUCAUGAAACUGGGGCUAAUACCGGAUAGGAGCUCCUGCUGCAUGGUGGGGGUUGGAAAGUUUCGGCGGUUGGGGAUGGACUCGCGGCGUAUCAGCUUGUUGGUUGGGUAGUGGCUUACCAAGGCUUUGACGGGUAGCCGGCCUGAGAGGGUGACCGGCCACAUUGGGACUGAGAUGCGGCCCAGCCUAGUCCGGGAGGGAGGAGUGGGGAAUAGUGCACAAUGGGAGGAAGCCUGAUGUAGCAACGCCGCGUGCGGGAUGACGGCCUUCGGGUUGUAAUCCGCUGCCGCCUGUGCCGAAGCGUGAGUGACGGUAAUGGGUAAAGAAGCACCGGCUAACUACGUG
rnacentral:rRNA from 1 species